AACGAAAUAGAUAGGAGGAAGAGGCAAAAUAGUGUGCAAGAUGGGGGACAAUCCAAUGAGCACAAUGUUGAACCUGCUGAAACUGCUGUUCCAAUAUCUGUGGUUGAUAGAGAACUGUCUUCGGUGGAUUCAACAAUCCUAUUGAACAAUCAAGCAAACAAUGAGCACAAUGUUGAACCGGCUGAAACCGCGGUUCAGAUAGCUGUGGUUGAUAGAGAAGUGUCUCAGGUAAACUCUGAAUCCUUAGUUGUUACACCAAUCUCAGAAUUCAAAUCAAACGAAGAAGCACAUGCAGAAUUUGCGAGAACUCAAACAGGUGAGAUUAAGAAGAAAAAGAAGAAAAAUAAGAAGAAGAGUGUGAUCAAUGGGGAAGAAUCAAAUGAACCCAAACCCUCGUUAGACGUGACACUUUCUACUGAGUUUGAAAUUAAAAAAGAAGUGGAAAAAAGUGAAGUAUAUGCUGAAUUUGCGAAAACUCAAACAGGUGAGAUUAAGAAGAAAAAGAAAAAGAAGAAGAGUGAGAUCAAUGGGGAAGAAUCAAAUGAACCCAAACCCUCGUUAGACGUGACACUUUCUACUGAGUUUGAAAUUAAAAAAGAAGUGGAAAAAAGUGAAGUAUAUGCAGAAUUUGCGAAAACUCAAANNNNNNNNNNNNNNNNNNAAACUCAAACAGGUGAGAUUAAGAAGAAAAAGAAAAAGAAGAAGAGUGUGAUCAAUGGGGAAGAAUCAAAUGAACCCAAACCCUCGUUAGACGCGUCGGGUUCUACAGAGUUUGAAAAUAAAAAAGAAGUGGAAAAAAGUGAAGUAUAUGCUGAAUUUGCGAAAACUCAAACAGGUGAGAAGGGGAAGAGAAAAUCAAAAAGUGAAAUAGGGAAAAUGGGUGAAGUGGUGGUUUUGGAGAAUGUACUCAAUCAUGAUUUGGAACAAGUAAACGAAAUAGAUAGGAGGAAGAGGCAAAAGAGUGUGCAAGAUGGGGCACAAUCCAAUGAGGACAAUGUUGAACCGGCUGAAAUUGCGGUUCAGAUAUCUGUGGUUGAUAGAGAAUUGUCUUCGGUGGACCCAACAAUCCGAUUGAACAAUCAACCUGCAAAUUUAGUAGAGCAAAAGGAUGUGAGAAAAAUAAGGCAAGAGAAGCACUUGGAGCUAAUGAAGAUGCAAAGUAUAAUAGCAAAAGAUGAGAGAAAAAAAAGGCAAGAGAAGCACUUGGAGAUAUCGAAGAUAGCAAAGGAAAAGAGAAAAAUAAGGCAAGAGAAGCACUUGGAGCUAAUGAAGAUGCGUAAGACAGCAAAGGAAGAGAGAAAAAGGUUGACGAAGAAAAGAGUUAACGAUGAGAGCAAUAAGAUGCAAGCGGAAAGUAAGUAUGAACUCAAAAGUACAGGGGACCAAUCCAAAGAACACAAUGCUGAACCGGUUAAAACCGCGGUUCAGAUAUCGGUGGUUGAUAGAGAAGUCUCUUUGGUGGACCCAACAAUGCGAUUGAACAAUCAACCAAACAAUGAGCACAAUGUUGAACCGGCUGAAACUUCGGUUCAGAUAUCUGUACUCGAUAGAGAAGCAUCUCAGGUAAACUCUGAACCUUUAGUAGUUACACCAAUCUCAGAAUUCAAAUCAAAUGAAGAAGCAUGUGCAGAAUUUGCGAAUACUCAAACAGAUGAUAUUAAGAAGAAGAACAAAAAGAAGAAGAGUGCGAUCAAUGGGGAAGAAUCAAAUGAACCCAAAUCCUCAUUAGACGUGACGGUUUCUACAGAGUUUGAAAAUAAAAAAGAAGUGGAAAAAAGUGAAGUAUAUGCAGAAUUUGCGAAAACUCAAACAGGUGAGAUUAAGAAGAAGAAGAAGAAGAAAAAGAAGAGUGUGAUCAAUGGGGAAGAAUCAAAUGAACCCAAAUCCUCGU
rnacentral:lncRNA from 1 species